ACAUGCCUACAACAUAGCGUUAAUGCAUCGGAUCCCAUUAGAACUCCACAGUUAAGCACGCUCGAUCUAGAAUCGGUCUAGAGUAGUACUAGGAUGGGUGACCGCUCGGAAGUACUAGUAUUUUACAUGCC
rnacentral:rRNA from 1 species